CAUGCAAGUCGAGCGGUAACAGACAUAAAGAUUCAGCUUGCUGAAUCCGGUGCUGACGAGCGGCGAACGGGUGAGUAACGCGUAGGAAUCUACCCAGUAGCGGGGGAUAGCCCGAGGAAACUCGGAUUAAUACCGCAUACGCCCUGAGGGGGAAAGGGGGCAGUUUACUGCUCUCACUAUUGGAUGAGCCUGCGUAAGAUUAGCUUGUUGGUGGGGUAAUGGCCUACCAAGGCAACGAUCUUUAGCUGGUCUGAGAGGACGAUCAGCCACAUUGGGACUGAGACACGGCCCAGACAUCUACGGAUGGCAGCAGUUAAGAAUAUUGGACAAUGGGGGCAACCCUGAUCCAGGUAUACCGCGUGUGUGAAGAAGGCCCUAGGGUUGUAAAGCACUUUAAUCAGAGAAGAAGCAUUUUAAGUUAAUACCUUAAUAUGUUGACGUUACCUGAAGAAUAAGGACCGGCUAACUCCGUGCCAGCAGCCGCGGUAAUACGGAGGGUCCAAGCGUUAAUCGGAAUUACUGGGCGUAAAGCGCGCGUAGGCGGUUUAGCAAGUUGUAUGUGAAAGCCCUGGGCUCAACCUAGGAACUGCAUCCAAAACUACUAAGCUAGAGUACGAGAGAGGAGAGUAGAAUUUCUGGUGUAGCGGUGAAAUGCGUAGAUAUCAGAAGGAAUACCAAUGGCGAAGGCAGCUCUCUGGCUCGUCACUGACGCUGAGGUGCGAAAGCGUGGGUAGCAAACAGGAUUAGAUACCCUGGUAGUCCACGCCGUAAACGAUGAGAACUAGCCGUUGGGCAGAUUUAACUGUUCAGUGGCACAGCUAACGCAUUAAGUUCUCCGCCUGGGGAGUACGGCCGCAAG
rnacentral:rRNA from 1 species